GACUGUUCUCUCUUUAAAAACGUCAAAUGUCCGAAACGUCAGAUUUUUCUUCAUCACAACACAAACUUACUGCACUGUUUGAACUGUUUAAAAAAUUAAGCCAAAAAUCACUUGAAUAUUAGGAAAACAAGAAUAUGACAAAUAAUAAACGUAUUCACAUCACCGAAGACUAGGUUUGAGCAUUAUCUUGUAUAGAAUUACCUAGUAAUAACACAUUUUGAUUCAACCUAACGAAAGCACUUUUUUAUGUAGUCGCUUAAGUGGCUAGAAAUAACAGCUAAAAUUUUCUUCAAAUCACAUCUUACUGUCUUUAAGAAGGCUAAAGUCACACUGGAUAAUACAGUCCUAGAAAUACUACGUCCAAGGAAGAGACAAGAUGUAACAACCUGAAUGCCAUUGAUGAUAGUUCAACAGGAUCAGGUUCAUCUUGGGAGUAAAAAGAAAAAUAUAGUCAACCUAAAAGCUGCCGUCCAAACAAGAAAAACACAUUGCAAACGUGAAAUGUCAAUCAUCCCAACCAAACAGGACACCGACGUAAAAACUUUAUUACACAUUGAAAGAAAAUGUUAGACAAGAUAAACAGAAAUUUAAUUUGGGAGUAAUACGAACAUUAAAUUUUAAAAUGGAAGAUUGACAGCCGGCAAUAAAUGAAACACCCAGAACUUUUACAGCCUGAUACUUAUUUUAUUGAUGCUCCAAGUUAGGGAUAUAAACGGACGCAAUAUAAACUACAAACAAGAACACAUACAAACCCACACAUACAUACAAGUAACAAGCUUCAGCAAUCAACACAACGGAACAACUUCACACAAUACUCCAAAAGGAAAUAAUAUAUACUAUUCGAUCGCUUUGGAUGAAUCGACUAAUGGUGAUACUGAUUCGACGCAGAUUCUAUACUUCAUUUGGGCCGUAACAGAAGAUUUUAUAUGCUAUGAAGAGUUUCUGGCAUUCGGCACUCUUACAGGAAUAGAUAUCUUCACAAAUUUUCAAGAUAAAUGUCGUGAAAUUGGAUUGAAUUUGGUUAAUUUAGCGACUGUAUGUAGAGACAGUGUACCGUCCAUGGCAGGAAAACAUGAAGGGUUUAUUGCACGAAUAGAAAAAUAAGUAAUAUCAGAUCCAGAUGCUCUCAUUUCUUAUCAUUGUAUCCUUACAUCAACAAAAUCUCUUUGCUUACAUCAGCAAAAUCUACAAUUUUAAGUGACACUUGGCAACAAGUUAUAAGUAUUGUUAACUAUAUUUGUGUAAAUGCAACACGGCAUCAUCCGUUUCAUAACAGGCUUAAGUUGAACGAAGAAUUAUUCAGUGUGGAUUUGCCGUAUCAUUCUAAAGUGCAUAAAACCAUGUCGUUAUAUAUGUGGCAAAAAAAUCCAAGCAUUUCGAAAAAAGCUAUCUUUUUUCAAAAUUUAUCUUCUUCGAAAGGAAAUUUCGGAUGAACAUUUUCAUGGAAGAAAGGAAGAUUCAUGGAAAUCAUUUGAAGACUACGCAGCUGUUAUAGACUUAUUAAUUGGAUAAUACCAUGGAAGGUUCACUGACUUUGAGAAUCAUGACAUCACGCUCAAAUUAACAUUUCGGCCCCAUCUUGUUGAUGUCUCCAAGGCUCCUAAAGAACUACAGAUGGAAUUGAUUGAGCUCUCAGAAGAUGACAUUUUAAAGUUCUUAUUCGACGCUAAGAAAGAUCCGAUUGAAAUAUGGGGAAAAAUGCAAUGCCCAUGUUUUUGGCAACAGGCACGAAAAAUGUUUUCCUGCUUUUCAACCACUUAUUACUGCGAACCUACAUUCUCCUACCAAACCAAAAUUAAGACGUCCGUAAGGUCACAAAUGAUGGAUACCCAUCUAGAGGAUCAGCUGAAACUGCAGACCUCCAUGCUGCAACCAAAUAUUCAAAUGCUUUCCUACAAAGAAGCAGUCACAACAAAGUCAUUAGAAGAGAAUCCAAAAUAUGGCAUUAUUGUGGGUCACCUCGAGGUUGAAGUGGUGUAACAUUCCAUUCCAGGCCCCAAUUCCCUACAAACCCCAUUGACAAAGCCGUGGAUGUUCUCAACUGUGACAAAAACAUUUAGAGGAAAAACACCAGUAUUUUCUUGUGCAUAAUUGAGGGAAGUGUGCAUAUCUUUUCUAUUUUAUUUUCGUCUUUCUUUUUGACUCAUUCAUUUUGACUGUUUUUAUUCUUUACCAAUUUGUAAAUUGAGAUUAAUUUUCUUUACAUUUGUAAAUACAUUUUUCGUCUCUAAUGAAUUCGGAAUUUUGUGAAUAUCUAUGACCAAAAUAGAGUUUAAAAGUGGGCGUAUAAUCGAUGCUAGAGCUCUCUUUACCAUCAGAUUUUCCUACAGCAGACAUCCCAGGUCAAUUUUCCUCAAUAAUUCUGUGAUUUAAAAAGUUUUGCAAUAUUUAGUUAUGUCUCUUUACGUUGUGAGAUCAAAUCCUGCUGAGGUUGAUACAACUUUACAACAUUUUGCAGUCGAUGACUGCUAAUUAUAUUCGCACUGAAGAUAGUGUUACCGAUUCCAUUAACUAUAACCGUCUCCCCCCAAUAUCUUAUCCCGUGCCUUUGUAAUUGUUAUUGAUGCUUCAGCUCAGAUAAACCCUUGAUCACACUCUACCCUCUUCGAAAAAGGAAGAACCCGUUUAUAAAAAGAAGCUGAAGGAUAAUAACUGGAACGCCUUUGAUUAGAUAUGUUUGCUAAAUGAUGGUUAACUAGAGGCUGAAAAACAACAUGGAUAUGUGAUAUAUACGAAAUAAAAUACUCAGACACGCUGUCUGUAUGAAAAAAUGA